CGGUCCGCAGGUGGUGCCACUCCUUAGAGAGGUAGUGAGGAUGGAUCUGAGCCGAGAAUAUGGCCAAUAUCAACGCUAGAACAGUCACCAGUAGAAGGCAUAGAAGACCCCUGGAAUGUAACAGCCCAGGAUUCCCACAGAGAUUCCAGCAUAGUCCAGUGCCAACCAGCGGUGACACGUCUUCUCUGAGCGGUGGCAGGAAAAGAGGGGAGAAGUGCUGUGUUGAACCACUCACAAUAGUGCAGCAGAGCGGCCAGAACCACCACAGCAGAACCAGAGCCAGUA